rnacentral:rRNA from 1 species
UACGGAGGGUGCAAACGUUGCUCGGAAUCAUUGGGCGUAAAGCGCACGUAGGCGGCCCGGCAAGUCGGGUGUGAAAACCCUCGGCUUAACCGAGGAAGUGCAUUCGAAACUAUCGGGCUUGAGUACUGAAGAGGGUCUCGGAAUUCCCGGUGUAGAGGUGAAAUUCGUAGAUAUCGGGAUGAACACCGGUGGCGAAGGCGGCCUGCUGGGCAGUAGCUGACACUGAGGCGCGACAGCGUGGGGAGCAAACAGG